ACUUCUCUGAGGAAAUGGCGAGGAUUCAUAAUAAUAACAUGGAUCCCCCCCCUUUUGUAACUUUCCUUACAAAAGAGGUUACACGAAUGUUUAUCUUCCCAUUUCUCUACAGUGCAAAGAACACUUGACAGUUGACAGGAUAUGUGAGCAAAUUCAAACGACCACCAAGUUAGGUUUUCCAUGAAAAGAAAAGGAAGGUCUGUCAAUCAUGGAUCAGAAUAGGUGUAGCACAAGAUGAUCCCUUGCGAUGUUCGCAUUUAUGAUCCAGGUCCUGCUAUCGGCCUUAUGUAGAGACUGGAGGGUGAGGUGGCUGUGGAGGAAUGAAAUCUCCAAGAGACGAGUUUACUUGGGGACAAAAGCUUCAUGAACUCUCUUAGAAGGAACACAAGAAGGGAAGAGACGAAGCAAUCCGCUUCAUGCAAGCAAAUAUUGUUCCCCUGGCACAUCUGUGCGACGACAGUUCAAACUUCUUUCAGAAACAAAUAAAACCCCAGAAACCCAUCCCACUUUUAGGCUCACCCUUUCGAGGUGGGAUACCUCAGCCUUGUGCACCAGCAGCGGGGAAAAAAAACAUGUUAAGGCUUCUCAGAGGAACGUGCAAAGGAGUUGAACAUAUGGAGCGAACCUUUUGCUGGCUACAAGUCUUAUUUUUCUUCCAAUUUGCAUCGAAGAAACCCCUCCUUUUGAGAAGGACGUGCUAGGCUCAUGUUUCCGACCCUGCUUCUGUGAGGGUUCAUGGAUGAUCAUCUGGCCCAUUUGGUUUCAGUUCCUCGGAGGGUAUAAUCUGGCCCUCUACAGGCCUUUCAUCUCAAAGAGAAGCGAAAUUCUUCAAAGUUUAGGUGGUGGUGGUGGCUAACACCAAGAUGCUUCAGGGCCAGAGGGAACUUCUCUAGUGGCUUCUAAAAAUAACACCGAAGCUGAGGACGUUUCCGUUUUGGAGAAAGUUUCUGCCCGUCAUGCAGCUGUUAAAAGCACACAGCAGCCUUGCUACAAAGAGCAAACAACCUUAGAUCAAGAGGUUUUCUCUGACUAAAGCCACAAAGCAUAAAUCUCCAACUCUAUCCCUUCUCUUCCUUGCAAUGGAGCCCUGACAGAAGAAUGAAGAGAGCACAUGUUGUCCCUACUCUCACCAGUCUGUCAUUGUGUGACUGGAAUUUCUGGGCCUCAGGAAGCCCUGUCAGAUUCUUGGACACUUCGGUUAGAAUGUGUCUUAAGUUCGAGAUGGGAGGGUUUAUGGUGUCAAUUUCCCUACUUGCACACACUGCACCCACCCUCCCCAGCAUCCUACCUAUUGCUAAUAGUGGCAACUAUCAGUUGGGAUUCAUUUGUUGCCAUUGCACUUGGGAUAAAUGCCAAACAGUGCAAAGUGGAUCCUGUUCUUCCUGUUUUCACAUUUGUUCCAAAAUGUUUGUUCACAUUUCACAUUUGUUCUGAAAUGACCCCGUUCUUCCUAUUUUCACACUUGUUCUGAAGUGAAUAUACCCCUGCCCCCUAGUGCAGACGAUCCAGAAAGGGUGGGACACUAGAAGACAAUGAGUUGUCCCCCGCAAGUCCUAAUAUGUGGCCUCAUUGUGGUUUGUGUGUGUGUGUGUUCCAGGGAGGGAUGAGUGAAGUAUGCUGGGAGGUAUACUCCCAGUAGGUAUCAUGAGAGUUCAGAGGAAGGCAACUAUUAUAGGCUAAUACUACUUUACUGUGUAACAGGAAGAGACGUUCAACAAGAUAUGUUCAACAAGAAAUACAGGCAGGAAGGAGGAAGGGACUCUGCUGCCAAUGAGGAUCACUUAGACUAGCAAAUGCUAGUGCCAACUACUGGCUGGACAUAUUAGAGCCACAUUUCCCCUUUUCUUAAACCAACAACAACAAUUGUUGUACACCGCCCAGAGCCUUUGGAUGGGGAGGUUCAUAAAUGUAAUAAAUAAAUAAAUAAAUAAAUAAAUAUUAAAAGAGCACAUCUAAACAA